UACGUAGGGGGCAAGCGUUAUCCGGAUUUAUUGGGUUUAAAGGGAGCGUAGGUGGAUUGUUAAGUCAGUUGUGAAAGUUUGCGGCUCAACCGUAAAAUUGCAGUUGAAACUGGCAGUCUUGAGUACAGUAGAGGUGGGCGGAAUUCGUGGUGUAGCGGUGAAAUGCUUAGAUAUCACGAAGAACUCCGAUUGCGAAGGCAGCUCACUGGACUGCAACUGACACUGAGGCUCGAAAGUGUGGGUAUCGAACAGG
rnacentral:rRNA from 1 species